rnacentral:rRNA from 1 species
UACGUAGGGGGCAAGCGUUAUCCGGAUUUACCGGGUGUAAAGGGAGCGUAGACGGCGGUGCAAGCCAGAUGUGAAAGCCCGGGGCUCAACCCCGGGACUGCAUUUGGAACUGUAUGGCUAGAGUGUCGGAGAGGCAGGCGGAAUUCCUAGUGUAGCGGUGAAAUGCAUAGAUAUAUGGAAGAACACCAGUGGCGAAAGCGGCUCUCUGGUCUGUAACUGACGCUGAGGUUCGAAAGCGUGGGUAGCAAACAGG